GGGGAGUGUACUGAGAAUAACUCAGUAUCCCUACAUGGAAAGGUUUUCUUAGAUGGGGAAUUAUAAACCUAUUGAGAAAUAUUGUGUCAAUUACUUUUGUAUGUAGUCAUGUAUAUUAUAUUACGUGUUGUAAGAAUUAAAUUAAGGCAUACAAUGUAUUUCUAGGGUUAUUUAUGUUUUGUUAAUUAAGUGAGCGUUUCAUGGUUGUGGGUGAUGAGGUGGCAGGGACGCUACGUGGCAGGUGCUCACGCAGGCUCGGUCAGUUCCUAGUCGGUGAGGGGUGUGAUUAGUCGACGGACUGCGUUGGCUGGGGGUGUUACGUGAUUGUGUCGGAAGUAUCCUGUCGUUAGCUGGGUUGUGCUUGUGCCCCUGCUUGUGCACAAGUAGACGCGAGUUGAUCGAGUGGUGUGAAGGAUUGUGACGAAUGUACCCUGCCAGUAGACAGAUGUCUUCAUGUCUUCAUUUGGAUGGUGCUUUGGGUACUUAACGUGUGGGAUCCGAGGUGUUGUAACAUAGCAGUAACCAGGACGCUAGGAAGGGAGGCACUGUGA